rnacentral:rRNA from 1 species
AACGCGAAGAACCUUACCAAGGCUUGACAUGCACGGGAAAGUUCCAGAGAUGGUUCCCCCGCAAGGUCCGUGCACAGGUGGUGCAUGGUUGUCGUCAGCUCGUGUCGUGAGAUGUUGGGUUAAGUCCCGCAACGAGCGCAACCCUUGUCUUAUGUUGCCAGCACGUCAUGGUGGGGACUCAUAAGAGACUGCCGGGGUCAACUCGGGAGGAAGGUGGGGAUGACGUCAAAUCAUCAUGCCCCUUAUGUCUUGGGCUUCACGCGUGCUACAAUGGCCGGUACAAUGGGCUGCGAUACCGUGAGGUGGAGCGAAUCCCAAAAAGCCGGUCUCAGUUCGGAUUGGGGUCUGCAACUCGACCCCAUGAAGUCGGAGUCGCUAGUAAUCGCAGAUCAGCAUUGCUGCGGUGAAUACGUUCCCGGGCCUUGUACACACCGCUACAGU